rnacentral:lncRNA from 1 species
UGCUUGUGUUUUGUGUUUUUGAGGACGAUAUGCUUUAAAAACGUGUUUAGUACGUCGUUUAUUUUUCUCUAGCUUGACUCUGUCUAUUUUUCCCAACUUAUUUUUGUUUUAUUGGAGCUUCUCAAAAUCUUUUUUUCUUCCAUUCCAAAUAAUUCAAUAGAGUUACUUACCAUCAUUCUAUCCUUACUAUGUUCUCUGGCAAUUUUACUCAAACCUUUUCUCAUGGGGGAUUGAUCGUGGAACAAAAUCUGAAUUUUUAAGAUUUUGUAGAAGUUCUUUUGAUGAGGUCCAAAUAUUUUAUCCUGGUCCACUUUGUUUUCUUCGGUUCAGCUUUUGGAAUAAGCCCGAGUGCUCCCUACUGUCUCGUCUCGCUGCCAGAUGGCCAUGUGCUGUCAGCUUCUUAAUUUCCUUCUCAUCUAAAAUCGUAUUGUAAUUAAUGUCAAGUUCGAGUUACAUCCGGCUGCGUGAUCGUUUCUGUUUUGAUCUAUACGUGAGAUUAGUCCUUGGCAUUGUCUAUAAAAGGUGUAGCCUGCAGUCAUAAUUGCAUCUAAAUCCCAGAAAGCUACGUAAGUCCAUGCCCUAGCCUCUGCCGCCGCAGUUGCCCAGCUAAGCGCCAUCAUCGCCGGCGAAGGUCAAUGGCUGGCCUCCACGUCCACAUUAGGGACAUGUUUGCCGUUGUCUUCUUUUGGCUGGCCGAGAGGGGGCUGCUACAGUCCAAUUAUUCGGACCGAGAUGAUUCUCGCGCUGGUUUCCCGCUCACGCGUCAGCCCGAGUUGACAUGGAGUCUGCGCCAGUGGAGGUUCCCACUCUUCCUGUGCUUGUCCCUUACUGCAUAUAGAAAACUCCAAAAUAGAUGACAUCAGCACAUGCAAGGUGUUUGUUAAAGUAAAAAAAGUCGUAGCUGCUAAACCAAAUGUUGAAAUUGAAAUCCGAUUACACCAUCGUAUUCCUUGUAAUAAACUCUUCAAAACAAGACCCCACAUGAAUAUAUUUAGAAAACAUUUUAUGUACGGACAUUUAUCUCGUGGUCCAGACAAAUCUCAUGAGAACAUCGUAAAAGAACAUAACUGAACAUUGCAUAUAUACUAUAUGAACAUCAUAAAAUACAUCAUAGAACAUCAUUGUAUACGGCAAGAACAUAAAUGUUCUAGGUUCAUAAAAUAAAUGUUCCGUCUUCGUAAGAAAAAUGUUCUCAGUUUAAAAAAUAGUGUUCUAGUUUAGAUUCAUGAAACUGAUAUUAUAAUAUUUAAAAUAAAUAAAUAAAUACAUCAUGUAAACAAAAAAAAUAAAAUCUAGAGCAAAGCAUAAGGAAAAAAAACACGUAAUAGAGAAAAAUUUAAAAGAACAUCAUAUGGAUAGUUUUAAAACAUCCUAAGAAUAAACUAUAAAACAUCACAUGUGUACUAAACUGAACAUCACUAAAUACACUAUAGAACACUAUUAAAUACAUUAUGGAACAUCGUAUAUAUAUUACGUGAACAUCACUAGAUAUAUCAUAGAACACCACAUGUGUACUAAGCGAACAUCACUAAAUUCACAAUAGAACAUCACUCAACACAUUAUAGAACAUUGUAUGUAUACUAAGUAAACAUCGCUGAAUUAACCAUAAAACAACACUUAAUGUAUUAUAGAACAUCACAUAUGAUGCAAAAAAAAAAGAUUCAUAACAAAGAAAGAUUAAGAAAUAAAACAUAAAUAAAAGAAAACAUAAUAAAAAUUAAAAGAAAAAACAAAAUAAAAAAAUAGAACAUCAGCAUGUGAACAUCAAAGAAAAUAAUAACAAUAAGAAAAAAGAUAAAAUAUAAAAAAAAGGAUAAUAUAAAACAAAAAAUGAAAAUAAAAAUAAAGCACAAAAAAGAUAGAAAAAGAAUCAAAUGGAAUAUAAAAUGAAAAAAGAAAGAAAAAAGGAAAAAAAUUAAAGAAAAGAAACAAAGAAAGAUUAAAAAAUAAAAUAUGAAUAAAAUAAAACAUAAUUAAAAAAAUAAAAGGAAAAACAAAAUCAAAAGAAAAAAUAAAAAAUAGAACGUCAGCACGUAAAUAUCAAAGAAAAAUAAUAAGAAUAAGAAAAAAAGAUAAAGAUAAAGAUACAAAACAAAGAAUAAUAUAAAAUAAAAAAGUAAAAUAAAAAUAAAGCACAAAAAAGCUAAAAAAGAACCAAACGGAAUAUAAAAUGAAAAAAGAGAAAGAAAAAAGAAAAGAAAUUAAAGAAAAAAAUAUAGCAAGAAAAAGAAAAAGAAAAAGAAAAAAGAAAGAAAAAAAUAGAAGAAAACUAACAGCAACGGCGGGAGGGAAAAAGAAAAGAAACAUAAAAAGAAAUAAAAGAAGACGAAAAGAAAAAAAAAAGAAAAAAGAAAAAAGAAAGAAAUAAAAAAGAAAGCGUACCUACCUCACGCGCGCGCGGCAAACCUCGCGUGGACGACGUCUCCGGACGUUCGGACUGGAAGAUUUCCGGGCCGAGAGCCCACCCCAUCGGCCAUCAUCGCGUGAUGCAUUGGCCACUGAUCUUGAUCCGUAGGACUGCCUCGUCUAUCUGUCGUAGGAGGACUCCGCUCGUGAAACCUGAUCUCACCACUCUGAGAUGGCAUUCGAGUCCUCCGUUUUCCCACAAACUCCGUCAAACUCUCCGGCGAGCUUUUCCGGUCAUGUUUCUCACCUUCGGUGAAUUUUGAUUCCAUCCCGGGGUUCGUUUCGUCAUUCUCUUCACCAGCACGUCUUUCGUUUUACGUCCGAUUUAAGUGGUUCAAGUUGCGUUAAAUUCGUAUCGAUGUGCUUUAUGCAAUAGUGCCAAUACUUUUCAUGUCACAUUCUUUUAUAUAAAUAGUUGAUUAUUAAAUUAAUUAAUAUGUGUAACUAAUUUUAUAAUUAAAAGCGACGUAGAGUUAUAGUUCCGUGUUUGUUGCUUUGCGAUCAAGGUGACUUAAGCGACAUAUUAGCAACAUUAUUUUCGAUGUCUAAUUGAAAGAUGUGUUGUUGCAAAAAUUGGUAUCUCACACCAACAAUCUCGGGGGCUCUGAGAGGAAGUCCAGGAGCUGAAGUCCUAGACCUCCUGAACCUUGAGAAUAAAUCUUUGACAUCUUUGUCAACCUUUGUCAAUUGUUGAUCCCUAAAUCAUAUGUCAUCAAAAGUCUCAAAACAAUCUUGGUGAUCUAGUUUAUCUUUCUUCCUAGUCCCUUCGAAUCUCGGGACGAGAUUCCUGUUAAGUGGGGUAGAUUGUCACACCCCAAAAUUUUUGAUUUUGGGUUAUGCAUAGAAAGCACUAAUUAAAAUAGAUGUUUUGAUACUUCGAU